rnacentral:lncRNA from 1 species
AUGUAAGAAUGACAGUUGAACAGUGAGAGAUAAAGGCCAGCAGUAUUAGAAGGAGUCAUUCACUCUAAGGUUUCCUGAGAGCAGGGUACUACUGGUUGUUGUUGGUGACAACUGGCUGCUGUAAAAUCUGAUCGAAGGAGAGUGUGCGGUGACAGAACACCAUGGGAUACCUAAGUAUGGAGCUCUGGAUACCAAAGAAUAAAUGCAAUGUUUUCAGUCAAAGGUAUACACUGAUGAAUUACAGGAACUUGAAUUGCUUUAUUUUCUUGAGAGUGGCAUCAUGAACUGACCUCGCUUCCAGGAGGAAAAGCCAAUAUGAUAUAAAGUACAUAACCAAAAUAACCUAGUUUUUCAUGUUUAUUUUCUGCUUUGAAAUCACUCAGGACAUAAAUACAGGUACCAUACAAUAUUUUCAAUGAAAUGGAAAUGAUAAUUAUUGAUUUACAGUCUCUCCAAUUAAAUUGGAGAACUAUAGUUUUUAGGUGAUCAUAAAAUGGUGUGAAUAUAGUACAUGGAUUGAAUGCAGGUGCAUUUACUGCCAAGGUUAAAGUAUAAACUUCAGGUAGCUCCUUUGCUGAAUUUUGUCAAAUAUUUGUGAACUCUAUAACUUCUGAGAGAGUAAAAUGGAAAGAGAUUUAAUUAGAGUGUGCUGGGAAUGUAAAGUAAUAUAUUAACUUUUUAUGAAGAAAAUUCUUCUUGAGCCACCAUGUUAUAGGUUGUGAAAUUAUCAUUAUAGA